rnacentral:rRNA from 1 species
UACAGAGGUCUCAAGCGUUGUUCGGAUUCAUUGGGCGUAAAGGGUGCGUAGGCGGCGGGGCAAGUCAGGUGUGAAAUCCCGGAGCUCAACUCCGGAACUGCACUUGAUACUGCCUUGCUAGAGUACUGGAGAGGAGACUGGAAUUUACGGUGUAGCAGUGAAAUGCGUAGAUAUCGUAAGGAAGACCAGUGGCGAAGGCGAGUCUCUGGACAGUUCCUGACGCUGAGGCACGAAGGCCAGGGGAGCAAACGGG